rnacentral:rRNA from 1 species
CCUACGGUGGCUGCAGUGGGGAAUAUUGGACAAUGGGCGAAAGCCUGAUCCAGCCAUGCCGCGUGUGUGAAGAAGGCCUUCGGGUUGUAAAGCACUUUCAGUGGGGAAGAAAGCCUUGGGGCUAAUACCCUCGAGGAAGGACAUCACCCACAGAAGAAGCACCGGCUAACUCCGUGCCAGCAGCCGCGGUAAUACGGAGGGUGCGAGCGUUAAUCGGAAUUACUGGGCGUAAAGCGCGCGUAGGCGGUCUGAUAAGCCGGUUGUGAAAGCCCCGGGCUCAACCUGGGAACGGCAUCCGGAACUGUCAGGCUAGAGUGCAGGAGAGGAAGGUAGAAUUCCCGGUGUAGCGGUGAAAUGCGUAGAGAUCGGGAGGAAUACCAGUGGCGAAGGCGGUCUUCUGGACUGACACUGACGCUGAGGUGCGAAAGCGUGGGUAGCAAACAGGAUUAGAUACCCGAGUAGUC